AACCGCCCAACGGCUGAGGAGUGCGGCAGCGCGCCAGAGACUGGCGGGCAGCUCCGCCCGCGGCCGGGAUGCACUAGGCAAAGCCAGCUGGGCUCCUGAGUCCGGUGGGUACUUGGAGAACUUACUACGUCUAGCUGGAGGAUUGUAAAUGCACCAAUCAGCAUGCUGUGUCUAGCUCAAGAUUUUCUCCGUCCCCUUAUUUUGGGCCAGUGGCUGUCAUUACAUAUGAGAUGAGUCUCUUGAAGACUACAGAUGAGAGCAGUCAUGAUGGCCUGCACUCCACACAAUGCAACAGAGUGAAAGAGCAGGUUCUGCUUCUUUGGUGUAGUCCUGAAGCUUCCUAAGAAACUUCACAUCAGGUGAUGGAUAGGAGCAACCCUGUAAAACCAGCCUUAGACUAUUUUUCAAACAGAUGAAGUGUUUAUAAGUCAUCCCAAGGAAGAAACAAUUCAGAUGAGAACUAUUCAAUGGAUUUGCAAUAACAAUCCAAAGAUGGAAGAAAACACUUCCAGGGCUGGUGAAUUACCAUAUCUCCGUCAAGUGCAGUAACCAG
rnacentral:lncRNA from 1 species